rnacentral:rRNA from 1 species
AUUGAACGCUGGCGGCAGGCUUAACACAUGCAAGUCGAGCGGGGUGAUGGUGCUUGCACUAUCACUUAGCGGCGGACGGGUGAGUAAUGCUUAGGAAUCUGCCUAUUAGUGGGGGACAACAUCUCGAAAGGGAUGCUAAUACCGCAUACGUCCUACGGGAGAAAGCAGGGGAUCACUUGUGACCUUGCGCUAAUAGAUGAGCCUAAGUCGGAUUAGCUAGUUGGUGGGGUAAAGGCCGACCAAGGCGACGAUCUGUAGCGGGUCUGAGAGGAUGAUCCGCCACACUGGGACUGGGACACGGCCCAGACUCCUACGGGAGGCAGCAGUGGGGAAUAUUGGACAAUGGGGGGAACCCUGAUCCAGCCAUGCCGCGUGUGUGAAGAAGGCCUUAUGGGUGUAAAGCACUUUAAGCGAGGAGGAGGCUCUUUUGGUUAAUACCCAAGAUGAGUGGACGUUACUCGCAGAAUAAGCACCGGCUAACUCUGUGCCAGCCGCCGCCGUAA